GGGAUCGUAGUUCAGUUGGUUAGAAUGCCAGUCUGUCACACUGGAGGUCGCGAGUUCGAGUCUCGUCGGUCCCGCCA
rnacentral:tRNA from 1 species